rnacentral:sRNA from 1 species
UUGGUUUUCAUCCUGUUAUCAUUCUGCUAUUACACUGUUGUUAUCAUGUUUUCAUCCUGUUCAACGUUUAUGUUCUCUACAAUGAUGUCUGAGUAGUGAAUAGGUUUUUAAGGAUGGGUUACAGUAGUGUAGAAUUCUCAGUAUGCUAGGUGGUUGAGUUUGAUUGAUAGAUCCCUUCUGGAUUAGUUGUUCUUAAUGCCUAUUGCUUUCUGAUCAACUGGAAUUUGAGCCCAGAUAUUUCCGCGCCCAAAAGGUGUUCGAUGAAAUGUCUGAGCCACUAAUUCCAGAGAUUCGUGGCCCUGUAGCAAGGUAUUGGUUGCAGGGAGCGUUUUGGCUUUAACUUGUUGAUUCGUAAUGCAUGUUAGUUUAGUUCUCGUCAAUGGUGAUUGAGUCUGGGACUAGGUUAACUUGAGGGUCUCUGUUGCGGUGGCACUUAGAUUUGGUUAAUGAACUUGUUGUCUAGGGAUAAUUUAUUGAGCAUGUCAAUCACCUGUAAACUGAGGAAACGAAACUACUCAAUUACCCCAUCCUCGGAAAUUCUUUAUCUGAUUGAAUUCUUUGUUUACUCUACUGUUGUUUACUGGAUCUUGUCAUCUGUAGCUUAGUUUCUAUAAUUCUUUCCUGUUACUCGACCUGAUACUCGACCACCGAGUUGUCUGGCAACAGACUCUGUAGUCGAGUGUCUUUGUUUUUUUUUUGUCUGUUACUCGACCUGUCACUCGACCUGUCACUCGACCUCACCCAGUGCUCUGCAUCGAGCUGUGUUGGUCGAGUGUUUUACUCUUUCUGUUUGAUUUUCUGUUUUCUGCAUGUUCACUUAGGACUGCUAGAACACACCAAAACCUGUUAUUGCUUGGCUUGACUUAGUGACUUCUGAUCACAUCUUGAUUGUUGUCAUCACACUU